AUGAACGCUGGCGGCGUGCUUAACACAUGCAAGUCGAGCGGAAAUAUGAAAUCUAAGAGCUUCGGCUGGAGGAUUUCAUAUUUUAGCGGCGGACGGGUGAGUAACGUGUGGGUAACCUGCCCUGUACUGUGGAAUAAUCACUGGAAACGGUGACUAAUACCGCAUGUCACCGCGAGAGGGCAUCCUCUUGCGAGAAAAGGAUUUAUUCGGUACAGGAUGGACCCGCAUCUGAUUAGCUAGUUGGUGAGAUAACAGCCCACCAAGGCAACGAUCAGUAGCCGACCUGAGAGGGUGAUCGGCCACAUUGGGACUGAGACACGGCCCAAACUCCUACGGGAGGCAGCAGUGGGGAAUAUUGCACAAUGGGCGAAAGCCUGAUGCAGCAACGCCGCGUGAAGGAUGAAGGGUUUCGGCUCGUAAACUUCUAUCAACAGGGACGAAAAAAAUGACGGUACCUGAAUAAGAAGCCCCGGCUAACUACGUGCCAGCAGCCGCGGUAAUACGUAGGGGGCAAGCGUUAUCCGGAAUUACUGGGUGUAAAGGGAGAGUAGGCGGCAUGGUAAGUUAGAUGCGAAAGCCUUGGGCUUAACCGAGGAUUGCAUUUAAAACUAUCAAGCUAGAGUACAGGAGAGGUAAGUGGAAUUCCUAGUGUAGCGGUGAAAUGCGUAGAUAUUAGGAAGAACACCAGUGGCGAAGGCGACUUACUGGACUGAAACUGACGCUGAGGCUCGAAAGCGUGGGGAGCGAACAGGAUUAGAUACCCUGGUAGUCCACGCCGUAAACGAUGAGUGCUAGGUGUCGGGGGGGGAACCCUCGGUGCCGCAGCUAACGCAAUAAGCACUCCACCUGGGGGAGUACGACCGCAAGGUUG
rnacentral:rRNA from 1 species